AACUUUCAACAAUGGAUCACUUGGCUCUCACAUCGAUGAAGAAUGCAGCGAAAUGUGAUAAGUAAUGUGAAUUGCAGAAUUCAGUAAAUCAUCGAAUCUUUGAAUGCACCUUGUGCUCCUUGGUAUUCUGAGAAGCAUGCCUGUUUGAGUGUCAUUAAAUUCUCAACCUUAUUGGCUUUUGCUAAUAAUGGAUUGGAUGUGGGGGAUUCUUUUGCUGGCUUCUUGGCAGAGGUCAGCUCCCCUUAAAUGCAUUAGCUGGUGCCCCAUGUGGACCAUCUAUUGGUGUGAUAAUUAUCUAUGCUGUGGAUGUCUGCAAUCAUAUGGGUUUUGCACUGCUUCUAACUGUCUGUUCAUUUGGACAAUACAUGACAAUUUGACCUCAAAUCAGGUAGGACUACUCGCUGAACUUAAGCAUAUCAAUAAGCGGAGGCU
rnacentral:misc_RNA from 1 species